rnacentral:rRNA from 1 species
CCUACGGGGGGCAGCAGUGAGGAAUAUUGGUCAAUGGACGCGAGCCUGAACCAGCCAAGUAGCGUGAAGGAUGACUGCCCUACGGGUUGUAACCUUCUUUUAUAAAGGAAUAAAGUGAGGCACGUGUGCCUUUUUGCAUGUACUUUAUGAAUAAGGAUCGGCUAACUCCGUGCCAGCAGCCGCGGUAAUACGGAGGAUCCGAGCGUUAUCCGGAUUUAUUGGGUUUAACGGGAGCGUAGAUGGGUUGUUAAGUCAGUUGUGAAAGGUUGCGGCUCAACCGUAAAAUUGCAAUUGAUACUGGCAGUCUUGAGUACAGUUGAGGUAGGCGGAAUUCGUGGUGUAGCGGUGAAAUGCUUAGAUAUCACGAAGAACCCUGAUUGCGAAGGCAGAUUACUAAACUGUGACUGACAUUGAUGCUCGAAAGUGUGGGUAGCAAACAGGAUUAGAUACCCGUGUAGUC